GACGUAGGGCGCGAGCGUUGUCCGGAUUUAUUGGGCGUAAAGGGCUCGUAGGCGGUUUGUCGCGUCGGGAGUGAAAACGCCGUGCUUAACACGGCGCUUGCUUUCGAUACGGGCAGACUAGAGGUAUUCAGGGGAGAACGGAAUUCCUGGUGUAGCGGUGAAAUGCGCAGAUAUCAGGAGGAACACCGGUGGCGAAGGCGGUUCUCUGGGAAUGACCUGACGCUGAGGAGCGAAAGUGUGGGGAGCGAACAGG
rnacentral:rRNA from 1 species